UUUAGUUAGGCAUGGCUUGAAAUACUAAGGUGACUGAGUGAGAACAUAAAUGAAAAUCUUAUUUUUAAAAAGUCUCCUUAACUAAAAAUACCUACAGUCGUUCCAUAUUUUGACAACUCUUUAACAAAGCUGUUUGGCAGUUAUUAGCUAGAAAUGCAAAGGGGUGAGCCAGUUGCCUAGAAUGAUGCCCUUUUAAUUAUUGGAUGAACUUUCUUAAAUAUUGAAAACAACUUAAGGUUGUGUACAUUUUGUUUUGCUUCAGUCUAAGAAUUUAUCUAUCCCUGAGUAAUCUAGAAAGCAGAUCUGAGGGAUCGAGCAGGUGCAGGGUUUUGCUAUUACAGUUCUGCAAGACCAAACAAUACUUCCUUCUGUGCUUUCACCCUGAAAAAGAUAUCCUGAACAGGGGUCUCCCAAUGCUUGAGGUCAGUCUCCAGAUCAGAGCUGUGUUCUCUGGACACUCACUUGUUUUCUGAACCAGUGAGAGGUGAACAGUCUCUGUUGUCCCCUUGCUUUUCCUGGCUCCCCUUCCUCCCACAUACCUUUGCUAUUUGUCCGGAAACACAGGCAGGAAUAUAAAUAACUUAAAUAUACAGUGUUUUCCUUAAGUGGCUGGUUAUUUUGCAAUAGAUUGUUUGAGAAAAUCUCCCCGAAAAAUUGCUGCUUCCUUUUGGUGAUGUUAGCUCAGGCUUUCCCCUUGUGUUUUCCAGAAAAUUCCAUGUUCAAGAAGCUGAACUUUCCUGCUCCACAUAAAAGCUUCGGGGUAUGCUUAACCUUCUCCCUCUUCUGAACUGCAUCUGACAUUCGAAUGUUCCCUGUCCUGCUACAUGAAGAUCUUCACUUACUGCUUCUAAUUGGAUUUGCUUUUCCUGCUGUAGAUGCGUGAAGGGCGUGCUGAGAUUCGAUUAGCUCACCACCUCAGUGGAUUUCUACUAUAUUUACAGAUUAAAUACCAAUUUCUUUACAUUCUGCCUUUCAACAUUAAACCAAGGUGUGCCUAAUGACGACAACAGCUUUCAACCAAAGGUCACAAGGACAGCUUCCCAGGACUGAGUGACGUAUCCACCUGGAUUUAUCUCUAUGCAAAAGUCUUCAUUUAUGCCUUCUUUCUUUGUUCUUUCUCCAAACCAACCACUGUAAACUACACAGCAUGGCUCUCUGCUUAUUCAUUUUUUGAAUUUUUGUUUAUUUAUUAUACAGAGAUGGGGGUCUCACUAUGUUACCCAGGCUGAUCUCAAACUCCUGGCCUCAAGCAAUCCUCCUGCCUCAGCCUCCCAAAGUGCUGGGAUUACAGGCAUGAGCCACCAUGCUCAGUCCAUGGCUCUCUGUUUAUACCUCAGUUUUAAAAAUCAGAGUAAAUGGUCAUCUUGGGCAUUUGUUUUUCUGAUAAAAGCUUCAUAAAUGUGCACACUCUUUUGCAUCUGCCUGCUCUCCCCACAGGCCUGUUGCUGUCCAAACCAGUGUGAAGAGUAUGACUUAAUGGAGAAAACUACUGCUAAAAAGAGUCCAUUAGCCCAUUGGACGAAUUUCUUGGACUGCAUUAAAAUCAGUUCAAUCAUUUAAAACAAUUAUUAAGUGCAUAAUAUAUAGCGGACCAUUUUAGGCAUGGAACACAGCACAGCAAAUAAAACAGACACAAAUCCCUGCCCUUGUGGAAUUUAGACCCUAGUGGUGAUAUAGAAAAAAAAAAAAAAAAUGAAUAAAGGGAAGAGGG